rnacentral:rRNA from 1 species
UAACGUGAGCGUCCUAAGGUAGCGCGAUAAUUUGCUUUUCAAUUGAAGGAUGGUAUGAAAGGGUUAACGAAGAAGGUGCUGUGUCUAAAAAUUUAAUUUAAACUAACUUUAAGGUGAAGAGGCCUUUAUGUAAAAGAAGGACGACAAGACCCUAUGAAGCUUUAUCUUAAUUGGAGCUCUCAGGCUCUUAUACGAUUUUGAUGGGAGAUCAGUAGAAAGAAGUCUUCUACUAUCAUAUUAAUCUUACUAGUAUUUCCUAACUUUAUAUGUGUGGCUAGCUACUCUAGGGAUAACAGCGCAAUUUCUCCCGAAAGAUGGUAUUGGAGGGGAAGAUUGCGACCUCGAUGUUGGCUUUAGAUAUCCUAGAGGCGUAGAAGCUUCU